GGUGGAAGGGCUUGUUUGGGGUGGGAAAGAGUAUGAGGCGACUGGUCAGCUUGUGCACAGACAGGAAGUGGCGAGAGAUGAAGGCUGUGUUGAGCUCACUCCCACCUUCUCUUUCUAUUCAGCCUGUGGGAUGAUGCUACCCACAGCCAAGACAGGUCUCCCCUGCUCAACGGAACCUCUCUGGUAGCAUCUUCGCUGACCUGUCCGGAGCUGUGUCUCCUGGGGCUUCAAGAGCAGUUCCAAAGACGACGUCAUGUUAGAGCUCCACACUGAACUCCAGACACCCAACAUCUGACUGCCCACCUUCAGACUGCCACUGCCGACACAGAAACAUCUCACAUUUUCCCUAACUUGACUUACAAGGGAUCAUGGGCUAGUUUGAGAAUCCAAUUAAAUCUUUUUCUUCUCACAAAACUUUA